UUUGGCACUAGCACAUUUUUGCUGUUCUCUAUAAACAUUGAGCAAUUAUGUGUAGUGCCAAUAU
rnacentral:pre_miRNA from 1 species